GAUGAAGAACGUAGCGAAAUGCGAUAAGUAAUGUGAAUUGCAGAAUUCAGUGAAUCAUCGAAUCUUUGAACGCACAUUGCGCCCAUUAGUAUUCUAGUGGGCAUGCCUGUUCGAGCGUCAUUAAUUCCACUUAAGCCCUGCUUAGUGUUGGGAAUCUACUCUAGUGGUGCUACCCUGGAGCUACCCCUGAAAGGGGGCUGGCCCGGUAGCUACCCUGUAGUUCCUCAAAGAUAGUGCGCGGAGUUGCGUGGUCCUCUGAGCUUAGUAACUAUACACCUAGCUUUUGAGUGUCCCGCGGCGCCUGCCGUUUAAACCCCAUCUUUUAAUGGUUGACCUCGGAUCAGGUAGGAAUUCCCGCUGAACUUAAGCAUAUCAAUAAGCGGAGGA
rnacentral:misc_RNA from 1 species